CCUACGGGAGGCAGCAGUGAGGAAUAUUGGUCAAUGGACGAGAGUCUGAACCAGCCAAGUAGCGUGAAGGAUGACUGCCCUAUGGGUUGUAAACUUCUUUUAUAUGGGAAUAAAACGUUCCACGUGUGGGAUUUUGUAUGUACCAUAUGAAUAAGGAUCGGCUAACUCCGUGCCAGCAGCCGCGGUAAUACGGAGGAUCCGAGCGUUAUCCGGAUUUAUUGGGUUUAAAGGGAGCGCAGGUGGAUUGUUAAGUCAGUUGUGAAAGUUUGCGGCUCAACCGUAAAAUUGCAGUUGAAACUGGCAGUCUUGAGUACAGUAGAGGUGGGCGGAAUUCGUGGUGUAGCGGUGAAAUGCUUAGAUAUCACGAAGAACUCCGAUUGCGAAGGCAGUUCACUGGACUGCAACUGACACUGAGGCUCGAAAGUGUGGGUAUCAAACAGGAUUAGAUACCCCUGUAGUC
rnacentral:rRNA from 1 species